rnacentral:tRNA from 1 species
GCCCUUGUAGCUCAGUGGAUAGAGCAGCGGUUUCCUAAACCGUGUGUCGGCAGUUCGAUUCUGCCCAAGGGCA